GACUUUUCUGUGCCUUCCUUCUCCUGAUUCAUUCUACCCUUACUCUUACUACUCUUCAUCUGGUGAUGAUGAUCAACCUCAGUUUCAUCAUGGUCCUGCUUCUUCUUCUUCUUCCUCCUCCCUUGAUCUUGGUUACUACUACCACGACUCUCACUCUGAUUAAUUCACUGAUGAUGGGUCUUCCUUCUCCAAUUUCUCCCCUUUGUGUACAGUAACUCUUUCUUUCUGUUCCUUUGGACUUUGAUUUCCCUUUAGUAAUUUUGAUUUUUAUAUAUUCAUUUGAUUUUUAUUUAACUGCUAUUACAAUUAUUAUUAUUAUUAUUUGGUAAUUAUGGGAGCCUGUAAUCCUUUGGCUAAUGGGGGAAAUUGCUCUAUUAGGUGAUGGAUUUUAGCUGUUAGAAUCUGAUUAUGUGGGUUCUUCUUCUUGUGCUUUUUCUCUUUUUAAUUGGUACUAUUCUGCUUAUAAAAUAUUGAUCUUGCUCUAUGGCUUCUUUUUUAGAUUCUUUUUGACAAUGCAAUUUCCCUGUUUUUUGUUCUUUAUACGUGUGCAAGAGCAUAUUCAAUUUACUAUAUUAUGUAUCCCAAAAAAAAUUCUGCUAAAAAGACUAGAUACUGGAGUACAUAACCACAAAGGUAGGGUUGUUACUUGUUUAUGUUAGAGAUAAAGGAGUUAGUCUUGCUGUCCUUGAAAAUUCCCUGGAUUAUGCAUGGAUAUGCAACACGAUUUAGCAGCUUUUUUUUUGUCAUAUAUUUAGCACAGGAAAAUUUUCAUCAUUACAUUGUUACUGUCCCAACCCAAGUAGUGGGUGGCCUCACUGGAUGAUAGUUGUGCAAGUAGUCUUAAAUCUCAUAAUUUUAAGAAUAAAUUAUGCUUGUUUUAUUGAAUAAAAUUAUAUCUUUUACAGCAUAUAUACGGACAAUCAACAAACGCAUAAGAUAAGAUAAGAUACUAGAGAUAAGAUAAGAUAGUAGAUAUAAGAAACAAAUAGAUAAACAUAAUCUGUUUGUUAUAGAUUUAAUCUAUCCGUUAUCUAUAACAUUAUUUUUCUCUUGGAAAAAGAGAUUGUACUAAAAAAUAUGAUUGUGUGGAUCUCUACUAUAUAAGAGGUUUAAUUUUAUUCAAUAGAACAAGUAGAAUUUAUUCUCAAAACUAUGAGAUUUAAUGCUCUCUCAUUAAUGUGUCCCGGUUAUUAAGAGUUCUCUCUAAUGAGUCCUUUCCUUAUCCAUUAUCCUGUGAUGUGAUUCGUAACUUAGGACCAUAAUAACUUGGUAUUAGAGUAAGGUAGUUUACAACAAAAAUUGGAUUUUUAUAUUCAAUUAUCCGAGGAACAAUAUCAACAAUAAUGUCGUGAGCAAAAAGAGAUACGAGCUUUGCUUGAUGCUAUAGCUAAGCAUUUAACCUUCGCAGAAAAAGCGAAGAAAAGUUGGUCGUUAUAGGUGAUUCAACAAAUCUAGAAGAGAAACUAAAUUCCUUUAUGCAGUGAUUUGAUGCACGUGUGAAAAACUUAGCUCAACAAAUUUCCAAAUUAGUCCAACCCUUUAAUAGGGGACAAGCCUGAACCAAGAUAGAUUAAGUAGUGGUCAAUAAAAUUUUGGUAAAAUACCUGUGGUGCCCUAAAAUGUCAAAGUCGACUUUUGCUCAUGAUGAAAAGGAGCACAUAGUUGUUGCUUUUGAUCUAGACACCUGAGUUUGGAAAGUGUUCAUUAGUUGGCAAAAUUGUUCUGAAUCUGAAGUUAUAUGGGAAUCUAUCAAUUAUUUUCAGUCUAUCAAGAUUGUCCUCAUGCUUAAAGGUAGAAUAUGCAUCCUCAAAAAAAUUUAUAGACUCCCAUAUCACUUCAUAUUUAGGACAGCCACUCCCAUAUAACUUCAAAUUUAGGACAGUUUGUCAAUUAACUAAUAUUUUUCAAACUCGAUGUCCGGAUCAAAAGUAACUCCUUUGUGCUCUCUCUUCAUCACGCGAGGAAAAUUCGACACAUUGCUGUAAACUUAAUUGAUCUCCCAUGACACAUUAUUCUAAUACUAAGGUGUUAUGGUCCCGAGUCACGGAUCGCGUCACAGGAUGAUAAAUAGAAAAGGAGUUCAUUAUGGGGAGCUCUUAACACCUUAAACUCCUUAAUGAGAGAUUCUUAGAUUUUAAUUUGUGUGUAAUUUUUCUACUUAUUUUAUUGAAAAAAAAAAAAUAAACCCCUUCUAUAGGGUGAGUAAUAUUCAAUUCAAACUGAUCGAACCGAAUUAAUUUUGAAAUUAAGAUUAGAUCAUGAUUAAAGUUGAAAUAUUUUAAUUAAAUUUUAGAAUACUAAAAAUAAGAUAUGAAAAAUAAGAAGUCCAACCGAAUCGAAUCAAAUCAGAUCGGUUCGAUUCAAAUUGGUUUGUGCUCAAAAUCAAUUCGAUUUGAUUUUUAGAAAUACUAAAAUUUUGAUUUUCAAUUUAUUCGGUUCGGUUUUAAACCGAACCGAACAAAUGCUCACCCUACCCUUAUACAAUGGAGAUACAUACAAUCAUAGGAUUUCUAAUUGAAAUAGAAGUCUAAUACAAGUAAUUAAUAAAUAAGAUAAGAUAAUAAAGAUAAAAAACUAAUAGAUAAACAUAAUCUAUUUGUUAUGGAUUUAAUCUCUCCAUUAUUCCUAAAAUUGUGAGAUUUAAGAGUUUCCUCUAAUGAGUUAUUUCCUUAUCCAUCAUCCCAUGAUGCUAUCCGUGAUCCAGGUCCAUAACAUACAUACUCUAAUACUCAUUAAACCUUAAAAAUAAAUUCCUCUCUUGUUACCAGAUAUACUUAGCCUUCUUGAUUCUGUUAUUUGCCACUGAGUGCAUAUCUAGUUCUAGUGUUUGCUUCUUGAUUCCUUUUUUUUCUCUUAGUUAUUGUAACCUGUGAUCCAGGCUUCAAUUUUGAGUACCGCCAACCAAACAACUACUAAAUAUUUCAUUUUUUUUUCAGCGAAAGUAUCUCUUUCGCUAAACGAACAGAGCCCUAAUCUUAGGAUAAAUUCCUGAGACUGGUUUGUUAAAAUUAUUAUUGCUAUAUAACACCUUUUGAUACUCUUUUCAGAUACCUAGAGUAAGUGUGCCAUGAAUGAGCCUGAGAGAUUUUCCAUAAGACAUAACAAACUAAAUGAGUAAUAUUGAUUCCCGCUUCUAACAUUGCUAUGAAGUGACAAUUGAUAUAUCUAGUUCGAGACAUAAGCUUGUUACAUUUCUGGAUAGAUCACAUAAAAUUUUCUUCACGAGCAUUGUAUGACCUGAUUUUUCCAUAAUUCUUUUUCAGUUGGAAUCAGAGUUUGAACCAUGCUUCCAAGAAAAACAGUAUAUGAGUUCAACUUCUGACAUCCUUCAGCUUCAAGCCUUCAAAUUUAGAUCUGGAGAUUAUAAGAAAAACUACUAGAUAGAAAUAACUCUCAAAUAUAACUUAUAUUCAUCAGAUAAACAAUCAAGCUUCUCAUUAGACAGAGACUAAAAAAGGUGAGAGCUGUAUUUCUAAUACAAUGGGAAGAAAGUUACUUGCUGAUAUUUCCAACGCUCUAUGGAUAAUUAACUCAAUUUCUGUUUUGUGAUCACUAAGGCUUACAUACUGGUUUCUAAUUUAUUACUAAAACCAUAAGUGGAUGUAGUGAAACACAGUUUUUAGUUUUACUGGAUCAGUGAUCUGUUUGUUCAUCAACUUCAACUUGUAAUAAGUAGGAUAAAGGGUAAAGAUUGGAAUUUUCUAGCUUAGAUAUGUGUAACGACCCGAAAAUCGGACCGCUACCGGCGCUAGGAUCCAAAUCGGCUUAAGGCCACCGGACCCGUAGCAAGCCAAACAUUCAUCCUGUAUACCUGUUUUCUCCCAUACAUGAUCAACACAUACGUAAAAUUUUGAACUUUUCCUUACAUUCAUUCAUUCUUUCAUUCGUUCACCAAACUCAACCUGUGCAUGCACUAUGCAUAAACAUAAUCAUAAACAUUAACCCCUCUUUGGAGUCUCAUCAUUGCCCCAAUAGGGUGACAUAACAUGUAUUGAGUUUGGUUACAAAAGCAUCAUUAAAAAAAAAUCAUGUACUCAAAGGGAUUUACAACAUACUAGGGUCAAGCACAACUAUAAACCUCGAUAAACCUCAUUGCAUUACAUUUCUAUCUAUACUUUUACAUUACAUCACAUUCAUGUCCACUUCUAGCUAUUGCAUACAACAUAACUCUACUCCUGCUGACCUCCUGGUCUACCCUGUACCUGCAAAUCUGGGGGUUAAGGGAGAGGGGUGAGCUAUAAAGCCCAGUGAGCAGAAUAAUAACAUUCAAUUUAGAUUUUAUGCUGUCAUGAGAUGCAACACAUCACAAACAAGUCAUAUCAAGGAUGGUAUUGUCACCAAUAGUCCUCUACAUUCCAAGGUGCCGGGAUGUAGAAUGGGUCAACCGGACUUUCUCUUAAACAUAACAUUCCAAAGUGUCGGGACGUAGAAUGGGUCAACCGGUCUUUCUCUUACAUAGUGCCGGGACGUAGAAUAGGUCAACCGGACUUCCAUACCAUGCCAUACUGUAUCAUAUCACAUCGUAUCAUAAUGAGGACUAAGGAUCAUCCAACAUCCAUCCACAUCAUCAUCAAAUUAUGUUAUGCAACAUAUUCGUGAAUUCUAAUGCACAACCUAAGAUAUCACAUGGCAUUCGUGAUGCAUGAACAUGCUCAAAUCAAUAUUAAAUUUCUUUAAAACAUAAGUGUUUAUUCCACUCACCUCUGGCUGAAGCUCUACUGACUCUGAAGCGACUGACUCACUGCUAGGGUCCCCGGUUCCUCGGGUCCGAACCUACACAGGUGGACUCAAAUGAGGGACCAAACAUUCAUGAACAUUACUCUAAAAUACUCCCCAAAAACCCCCCAAAACACCUUAAAACAAUCAUAGGAAACAUGCAAAGGAGGGCUGCACAGGGCACUUUCGGCGGCAGGUUCGGCGGCCAAAAGUCCCUCCAGAGACGAAAGUCAGGCAGGUUCGGCGGCACCUUCGGCGGCCGAAAGUGCCCUCCAGAGACGAAAGUCCAUUUUCGGGGACAGGCUUCGGCAGCCGAAAGGCUUGCCUCACAGACAGGUUCGGCGACCGAAAGUCUCUUCGGCUGCCGAACCUGGUUUCUCCCAAAGGGCAGAAACUCGGCUCAACAAGCUCCCAAAGCCUCCCAAACUUCCAAUCAUGCAUCCAACUCAACCAAAACAUGCAUACACACAUACAUCAACACCUAGGGGUCUCAAACUAUCCUAAACCCCAACUACAACACAUCAAACAUGCAUAUCCAACACACAUUGUCCAUAUAAUCACAUAAAACCUAACAAAGCUCAACUAACUUAAACAUGCCUUUCUACCCCAUGAAUCAACUUAAAACUUGUUUAAAACAUACCAUAAGGUCAAGAUCGGCUCUUACCUCUUGAAGAUCGAGAGAGACGACCUAAACUUGGAGAACCAAGGAAAAGAGCUCCUGAGUCUUCCAAGCCUCAAACUUGCUUUAAUGCUCAAAAAUCUUCAAACAAAGUGAAAACUCAUGAAAAUCAUGAAAGAUUUGUAGGAAGGGACUCAAAAUCGGCGAGGGACGGCGGAAAACUCACCUUGGCCAAAAAUGGGGAGAAAAGCUCGCCCAUUCGGACAAGGGGACUCUUUUAUAGGUGGCUGGCCAGGCCACUUUCGGGGGCCUAACGUGCCUCCGCAUGUAUGCCAUGUUCGGUGGCCGAACAUUAGGUUCGGCGGUCGAACCUGGACUUCCCUCACUUAUGCCUUCGGGGGCCUAAAGCACUCCCGAAGUGCAUGCAUGUUCGGCGGCCGAACCUGAGUCUUCCUCUCAAGACUAUUUUCAUUCAAAACUUAAUUUCUUUCUUGUUUAAACCCAUGAAAUCCAUUAAAGCAUUUUAUAAAAACAUGAUUUUACCCUUCUAGAGAUUUCCGAUAUUCGAGAUUCCACCGGGCGGUAGGAAUUCCGAUGCCGGAGUCUAGCCGGGUAUUACAAUAUGUAUUUCUCAUCUACAUCAACUUUAAAUAGCAGAAUACUUUUACUUCGUUUAUUGAGUAAAACUACUAUUUUAUGCUCUGGUUGUUUUUUCAUGGGAAAAAAGAAUGUUGAGAAGGCCCAAACUCCUUUUUUCAAGAUAUCUUAAAGUACAUAAGAGGAAUGUAUACUUGUUAGAAGAGAGUAUAAAUUGAGAUUAUAUAUUCUAGAGCUCCUCGAUUGCUUCCACUAAGUUGAAGUUCGUUAGUGUGAUACAGGAAUCUGUGACCUUAUUGAACAUGUACAGAUCCUUUAGUUUUUGCUUUGAUUGAAAGUGAAACUGUGAAUAAUCAUUUGACUUUUCAAGUACUUGCUGAUGAAGUUUGUCUUUGUACCAUGUAGUCUAUUGUACAAGUUGACUAGAAAAAGAGGAUUGGGAGAGAUGCAUUCUGCACAGGCAUAGGCUUGGUACUGGAUCAUAAAAAUAUAAUUCUUUUUCAAGUAAGACAAUUUGACGGAUCUAAGUUAUGUUUGGGCUUGUCCUCUUUGUAUACUUAUCUGCUAAUAGUGUUGAAUCUAUAUUGUUAAAUUCAGAUUUCUUGAGAUUACAGUUUUCCUGUUGUGUGAUACCUACUUGUAAAACUGAGUGCACAAUAGAAUAACUUGGUAUAUAAAAGUUUUCAGUACUUGUUUCUUAUUUGUUUGCUUUAAUUAAUUCUUCAAAUCAACUUUCA
rnacentral:lncRNA from 1 species